AUUGAACGCUGGCGGCAUGCCUUACACAUGCAAGUCGAACGGCAGCACGGGAGCAAUCCUGGUGGCGAGUGGCGAACGGGUGAGUAAUAUAUCGGAACGUGCCCGGUCGUGGGGGAUAACGUAGCGAAAGCUACGCUAAUACCGCAUACGAUCUACGGAUGAAAGCGGGGGAUCGCAAGACCUCGCGCGAUUGGAGCGGCCGAUAUCAGAUUAGGUAGUUGGUGAGGUAAAGGCUCACCAAGCCGACGAUCUGUAGCUGGUCUGAGAGGACGACCAGCCACACUGGGACUGAGACACGGCCCAGACUCCUACGGGAGGCAGCAGUGGGGAAUUUUGGACAAUGGGCGCAAGCCUGAUCCAGCAAUCCCGCGUGCAGGAUGAAGGCCUUCGGGUUG
rnacentral:rRNA from 1 species